UAACACUUUGAAAACUACCUCUCCUUGGUCC
rnacentral:piRNA from 1 species